UGGGUGUCUUUGACGCCCGUGAAAUACCACUACCUCUGACGCUGUUUCACUUACUCGGUGGAAAACAAUCCCUCUGGCAGUUUCAGACUGCCGGAGUUUGCCUGACGUUAGCCGGAGACUUUGUCAGGUUGGGAGUUUGGCUGGGGCGGCACAUCUGUUAAACGAUAACACAGGUGUCCUAAGAUUAGCUCAGCGAGAACAGAAAUCUCGUGUAGAGCAGAAGGGUAAAUGCUAAUUUUAUG
rnacentral:rRNA from 1 species